UUAAAGUUUAACAUCUGUAUAAAUUGAUGAUUGGUAUUAUAUAUAUAUGUUCUAUUGUUGGAAUUGAAUUAUUGUUGGAAAUAUAUUAUUGAAUUUAAUACUCAGUUUGAAUUGAACGCGAGAUUUGAAUACAUUCAUGAUUUGGUGUAUGGCGGGGGUUUAGAGUAGAGAUGGUACUGGAGGGAGAUAUCAUCAUUUUACUCAAGUAAACCGGGGUUUAGCAUUUGUUGCGAACUAUCGCGUUUUACCUUCUAUUUGGCAUGGUUGGGUGGAUCAGCUCUCAUGAGCUUCUGUUCAGCUCUUAUGAGCUUCUGUUGGCGAUGUACUCUUACCCAUUUUCAAAAGGUUGGAUGAUCGGAUCGACACUCAAGUUACACUAUCCAGUCUAUCUCGGUAGUUUUUGAAACGUUUAAUUCGGACUAUAUGGCAUGCAUAGGCUCUUGUGCUAUUUUGGUUAAUGUUUGGUUUAUGUUAAUGUUAUGGAUGAUAUUUUGAGCAAAUAACCAAUUUGCAAAUGGUAUGAGAAUGAGGUAUAAUUGUUACGUUAUAUGUGUGGCUUAUAUAUAUUUGAAUUGUUGUAACUUUGUAGGUAAA